GACGUAGGGCGCGAGCGUUGUCCGGAUUUAUUGGGCGUAAAGAGCUCGUAGGCGGCUCGUUGCGUCGGCUGUGAAAACCCGCAGCUCAACUGUGGGCUUGCAGCCGAUACGGGCGGGCUGGGAUUCGGUAGGGGAGACUGGAAUUCCUGGUGUAGCGGUGAAAUGCGCAGAUAUCAGGAGGAACACCGAUGGCGAAGGCAGGUCUCUGGGCCACUACUGACGCUGAGAAGCGAAAGCAUGGGGAGCGAACAGG
rnacentral:rRNA from 1 species